rnacentral:rRNA from 1 species
AGGCUUUGAUCCUGGCUCAGGAUGAACGCUGGCGGCGUGCUUAACACAUGCAAGUCGAACGAACCUUCGGGUUAGUGGCGGACGGGUGAGUAACGCGUGAGAAUCUGCCCUCAGGAGGGGGAUAACGGCUGGAAACGGCCGCUAAUACCCCAUAUGCCGAGAGGUGAAACGAAUUUCGCCUGAGGAUGAGCUCGCGUCUGAUUAGCUAGUUGGUGGGGUAAAGGCCUACCAAGGCGACGAUCAGUAGCUGGUCUGAGAGGAUGAUCAGCCACACUGGGACUGAGACACGGCCCAGACUCCUACGGGAGGCAGCAGUGGGGAAUUUUCCGCAAUGGGCGAAAGCCUGACGGAGCAACGCCGCGUGAGGGAUGAAGGCCUCUGGGCUGUAAACCUCUUUUCUCAAGGAAGAAGAUCUGACGGUACGUGAGGAAUAAGCCACGGGUAUAUCCGAU